rnacentral:rRNA from 1 species
UACGGAGGGUGCAAGCGUUAUCCGGAUUUACUGGGUUUAAAGGGUGUGUAGGCGGAUUAUUAAGUCAGCGGUGAAAUCUCCGGGCUCAACCCGGAAACUGCCAUUGAUACUAUUAGUCUUGAAUAUUGUUGAGGUGGGCGGAACGGGUCAUGUAGCGGUGAAAUGCAUAGAUAUGACCCGGAACACCGAUUGCGAAGGCAGCCCACUAAGCAAUGAUUGACGCUGAGGCACGAAAGCGUGGGGAGCAAACAGGG